rfam:Heligmosomoides polygyrus genome assembly, scaffold: HPBE_scaffold0002884
GUGCCGGUGGUGUAAUGCGAACAUCGCCGCCCGGAGAGCAGAAGAUGCGGGUUCGAAGCCCGCCUGGCGCA